AGUGAAGGUGGGAGGAAGUGCUACCAGUUAGCUACCCAUUGAUUUUUAUUAUCUGUCAGACUGGACCUGAGAGAAAGGUGCAACUAUCCAUCUUCCCUCAGAUAGUUCCAUUUACUCUCCUAACGGGUAAGAAACUUAACCAUCUUCGUGUUCAGCGAUAAAAGAUCGGUGCCUGUUUUUCACUCUUGUGGCUGAAGUUGUAAGAGAUCGUGGAGCAAAAACUUGAUACUUUUGCCACUUGUGAAGAGAGUCUGGCAGAAAACAGAGCUCUGUGAGGUGCUGCUUGUCAAACACAGAUCCCGCAGAUAGACCAGCAACUACAAACAAAGCCCAGAGGUAAAGAGAACAUGUUAUUUGCUACUUUCAUUUUAUUAUUUGGAUUUCUAUUUCUAUGCCAAUGAUAUAAUGAUAUGAAUGCUGACCAGAUUAUAAAACUAGCCUGUGUAAGUCUGGGACUCAUCUCACGUAUAAGUUUUUAAAUGAAGAAAGUUUAAUUAAUUCACCAAGUUUUAACCUCACAUAUAAGCUUUUACUAAGAUGUAAAAAAAAAUUAAAGUUCUCUUUGAUCUGAAAGUUAUUUUAGCUACAAAAUAAAAUAAAACUAUCUAUGUUAUUUAUAGGUAACAGCCUACACAGCUAACUGCUGGAUAAACUUUUGGAUUAAUAAUAAAUUUGAAUGUUUAUUUUUCUUUCCACCAGUUGAUUUCUAGCAUUCAUAAAUCCUCUCAUAGUCUCUUAUUCUUUUUUAUGUUGCAUUCAUUGAAUAUUUUUCUUAAAAAUCAUAUUUCUUUUUGUCCACUAUAAAAAUGAUGUUAUUUAACAUGAAGUAUUUGGGAAUUUUUCAUAUUACUACAUUAU
rnacentral:lncRNA from 1 species